CGGAGGAAGAGGAGGAGGAUGAGAAGGAGAUGGUGCAGGAGGAGGUGUUGCAGGAGGAGGAGAAGGAGGAGGAUGAGAAGGAGGUGGUGCGGGAGGAAAAAGAGAAGGAGGUGGUUCAGGAUGAGGAGGAGAAGGAGGUGGUGCAGGUGGAAGAGGAGGAGGAUGAGAAGGAGGUGGUGCAGGAGGAAGAGGAUGAGAAGGAUGUGGUGCAGGAGGAAGAGGAGGAGGAGGAGAAGGAGGUGGUUCAGGAGGAAGAGGAGGAGGAUGAGGUGGUGCAGGAGGAAGAAGAGGAGAGGAGGUGGUGCAGGAGGAAGAGGAGGAGGAUGAGAAGGAGGAUGAGGUGGUGCAGGAGGAAGAAGAGGAGAGGAGGUGGUGCAGGAGGAAGAGGAGGAGGA
ensembl:lncRNA